GAAAUGCGAUACGCAAUGCGAAUUGCAGAACCGUGAGUCAUCAGAUUUUUGAACGCAAGUGGCGAUGGCUUCGGCCAUCAUGUUUGUUUCAGUGUGUUCGGUUAAUUGCAUCAUAGAACUGAAUGUGAUUGAGGUAACUCUCUCACUUAGUACGAAGCAAUGUCAAUCUUAACAUUAGGCGAAUCGGUCACUAACUUGGUGAUAGUCGUUUAAGUGUAUUAAGGUUGUAGAAUCUUUGCUUGCAAAAAAAACCUUAUCCAAUCAUGACACCUGAAAUAAGCAAGAUUACCCGCUGAACUUAA
rnacentral:misc_RNA from 1 species